rnacentral:rRNA from 1 species
AUGGCCAAGCAACGACAGAGCAGCGCCGGCGCCGGCAACGUCGCCUCUGACGCCGUCCGGCCGAAGUCGGAGCGGGCGCGGAGGAGCGUGACGCGGCGGCGCCCCUCGCAACGCACCUCCGCGUACCGCGGCGUCACACGGCACCGGUGGACGGGGCGGUUCGAGGCGCACCCGUUGGACAAGAACACCUGGACCGAGCCGCAAAGGAAGAAGAAAGGGAGGCAGGUUUAUCUCGGGGCGUACGGCGGCGAGGAAGCGGCGGCGCGCGCCUACGACCUGGCGGCGUCCUCAACUUGUCGGUACCGCAUCCAACUGUCUAGCUACGACCAAGAGCUGAAAGAAAUGGAGGAGCAGUCCAGGGAGGAGUACAUCGGCUCGCUCCGGAGGAAAAGCACUGGCUUCUCAAGAGGGGUGUCCAAGUACAGAGGCGUCGCAAGGCAUCACCACAACGGCAAAUGGGAGGCUAGGAUUGGGCGCGUGUUUGGCAACAAGUAUCUCUACCUAGGAACCUACGUGACACAGGAGGAGGCAGCCAUGGCGUACGACAUCGCCGCCAUUGAGCACCGCGGCCUCAACGGUGUGACCAACUUCGACGUCAGUCGCUACAUCAAGUGGCACCACUGCUGCCACGCCGACGACGCGGGUGGUCUCAACACCACUCUCUGUGUAAAUGAUCGGUUGCAACCGUCCCAGGCGAGUCCAACGUCUCAUGCGGUGUCGUCGCUUGGCCCGCUGCUGCAAUCGCCCAGAUUGAAGGAGAUGAUGGAGCGGGUGGCGGCCUCCCAGUCCCAGAGCAACACCAACUCGCCGUCUUCAUCCUCGUGUCCCCCCUCACCGCCACCGACGACCCACCAACACGAGCCAAGGCCUAGAAAUUCGUCAACGCGGUGCAGCUUUCCGGACGACGUGCAGACAUAUUUCGGGUGCGAUGAUGAGGAGGGCAUGAGCGGCUACGCGGAGGUUGACACGUUCUUAUUUGGGGACCUGGGCGUGUGCGCCGAGCUGGGCCUUUGA